CGUAUCACUUAAAGCGAUUCAGCGGAUGACGAUUGACGGAGCGAAGCGACGUCAAAGCGUAUACAAAGUCGAGUCGGUUUAAGGAUACGUUCGUUGGGUAGGGGAGCGUUCUGUAAGCCUGCGAAGGUGGCCUGUGAGGGUUGCUGGAGGUAUCAGAAGUGCGAAUGCUGACAUAAGUAACGAUAAAGCGGGUGAAAAGCCCGCUCGCCGGAAGACCAAGGGUUCCUGUCCAACGUUAAUCGGGGCAGGGUGAGUCGACCCCUAAGGCGAGGCCGAAAGGCGUAGUCGAUGGGAAACGGGUUAAUAUUCCCGUACUUGGUGUUACUGCGAAGGGGGGACGGAGAAGGCUAUGUUGGCCGGGCGACGGUUGUCCCGGUUUAAGCGUAUAGGUGUGUGUUCCAGGUAAAUCCGGUUCACUUUAACACUGAGGCGUGAUGACGAGGCGCUACGGUGCUGAAGCAACAAAUGCCCUGCUUCCAGGAAAAGCCUCUAAGCAUCAGGUAACAUCAAAUCGUACCCCAAACCGACACAGGUGGUCAGGUAGAGAAUACCAAGGCGCUUGAGAGAACUCGGGUGAAGGAACUAGGCAAAAUGGUGCCGUAACUUCGGGAGAAGGCACGCUGACAUGUAGGUGAAGUGAUUUACUCAUGGAGCUGAAGUCAGUCGAAGAUACCAGCUGGCUGCAACUGUUUAUUAAAAACACAGCACUGUGCAAACACGAAAGUGGACGUAUACGGUGUGACGCCUGCCCGGUGCCGGAAGGUUAAUUGAUGGGGUCAGCGCAAGCGAAGCUCCUGAUCGAAGCCCCGGUAAACGGCGGCCGUAACUAUAACGGUCCUAAGGUAGCGAAAUUCCUUGUCGGGUAAGUUCCGACCUGCACGAAUGGCGUAAUGAUGGCCAGGCUGUCUCCACCCGAGACUCAGUGAAAUUGAACUCGCUGUGAAGAUGCAGUGUACCCGCGGCAAGACGGAAAGACCCCGUGAACCUUUACUAUAGCUUGACACUGAACAUUGAGCCUUGAUGUGUAGGAUAGGUGGGAGGCUUUGAAGUGUGGACGCCAGUCUGCAUGGAGCCGACCUUGAAAUACCACCCUUUAAUGUUUGAUGUUCUAACGUGGACCCGUAAUCCGGGUUGCGGACAGUGUCUGGUGGGUAGUUUGACUGGGGCGGUCUCCUCCUAAAGAGUAACGGAGGAGCACGAAGGUUGGCUAAUCCUGGUCGGACAUCAGGAGGUUAGUGCAAUGGCAUAAGCCAGCUUGACUGCGAGCGUGACGGCGCGAGCAGGUGCGAAAGCAGGUCAUAGUGAUCCGGUGGUUCUGAAUGGAAGGGCCAUCGCUCAACGGAUAAAAGGUACUCCGGGGAUAACAGGCUGAUACCGCCCAAGAGUUCAUAUCGACGGCGGUGUUUGGCACCUCGAUGUCGGCUCAUCACAUCCUGGGGCUGAAGUAGGUCCCAAGGGUAUGGCUGUUCGCCAUUUAAAGUGGUACGCGAGCUGGGUUUAGAACGUCGUGAGACAGUUCGGUCCCUAUCUGCCGUGGGCGCUGGAGAACUGAGGGGGGCUGCUCCUAGUACGAGAGGACCGGAGUGGACGCAUCACUGGUGUUCGGGUUGUCAUGCCAAUGGCACUGCCCGGUAGCUAAAUGCGGAAGAGAUAAGUGCUGAAAGCAUCUAAGCACGAAACUUGCCCCGA
rnacentral:rRNA from 1 species